rfam:Ailuropoda melanoleuca scaffold1356_46, whole genome shotgun sequence.
GCCUGGCUGGCUCAGUCAGUGGGGCAUGUGACUCUUAACCUCGGAGUUGUGAGUUCGAGCCCCACGUUGGGUG